UGAACGCUAGCGGCAGGCUUAAUACAUGCAAGUCGUGGGGCAGCAUGAGUAGCAAUACUUGAUGGCGACCGGCAACGGUGAGGAACACGUACACAACCUUCCUUCAAGCGGGGAAUAGCCCAGAGAAAUUUGGAUUAAUACCCCAUAAUAUAUUUGAUAAGGCAUCUUAUUAAUAUUAAAGCUUCGGCACUUGAUGAUGGGUGUGCGGCUGAUUAGAUAGUUGGCGGGGUAACGGCCCACCAAGUCUACGAUCAGUAGCUGAUGUGAGAGCAUGAUCAGCCACACGGGCACUGAGACACGGGCCCGACUCCUACGGGAGGCAGCAGUAAGGAAUAUUGGACAAUGGACGAAAGUCUGAUCCAGCCAUGCCGCGUGAAGGAUUAAGGUCCUCUGGAUUGUAAACUUCUUUUAUAUGGGACGAAAAAAGGGCAUUCUUGUUCACUUGACGGUACCAUAUGAAUAAGCACCGGCUAACUCCGUG
rnacentral:rRNA from 1 species